rnacentral:rRNA from 1 species
UUGGAGGGCAAGUUGGUGCCAGCAGCCGCGGUAAUUCCAGCUCCAAUAGCGUAUAUUAAAGUUGUUGCAGUUAAAAAGCUCGUAGUUGAACUUCGGAAUUUGCCCAUUGGUCAGGCUUAACUGUCUGAACUGGUGUGACGAGUUCCUACCUUCUGAGGAAUCUUCAUGCCAUUCAGUUGGUGUGGUGGGAAAUCAGGACUGUUACUUUGAAAAAAUUAGAGUGUUUAAAGCAGGCAUCCGUCUGAAUACAUUAGCAUGGAAUAAUAAAAUAGGACGGUUUGGUUCUAUUUUGUUGGUUUCUAGGAUCACCGUAAUGAUUAAUAGGGAAUAGUUGGGGGCAUUAGUAUUCAAUUGUCAGAGGUGAAAUUCUUGGAUUUAUUGAAGACUAACUACUGCGAAAGCAUUUGCCAAGGAUGUUUUCAUUAAUCAAGAACGAAAGUUAGGGGAUCGAAGACGAUCAGAUACCGUCGUAGUCUUAACCAUAAACUAUGCCGACUAGGGAUCGGACGAAGUUAAUUUUUAAAUGACUCGUUCGGCGCCUUACGGGAAAC